rnacentral:rRNA from 1 species
GACGAACGCUGGCGGCGUGCUUAACACAUGCAAGUCGAACGGAAAGGCCCUGCUUUUGUGGGGUGCUCGAGUGGCGACCGGGUGAGUUACCCGUGAGUAACCUGCCCCUGACUUUGGGAUAACUUCAGGCAACUGGGGCUCUUACCGGAUAGGAGCUCCUGCUGUUUGGUGGGGGUUGGAAAGUUUCGGUGGUUGGGGAUGGACUUGCGGCUUAUCAGCUUGUUGGUGGGGUAGUGGAUUACCAAGGCUUUGACAGGUAGCCGGGCUGAGAUGGUGACCGGCCACGUUGGGACGGAGAUGCGACCCGGACCCCUCCGGGACGGAGCGGAGCAGAAUAUUGCACAAUGGGCUGAAGCCUAAUGCAACAACGCCGCGUGGGGGAUAACAGCCUUCGGGUUGUAUUCCGCUUUCGCCUGUGACGAAGCGUGAGUGACGGUAAUGGGAAAAGAAGCACCGGCUAACCACGUG